rnacentral:rRNA from 1 species
ACGGUUCAGUAACACGUGGAUAACCUGCCCUAUGGUGGAGAAUAACCCCGGGAAACUGGGGAUAAUACUCCAUAGAUUAGAGAUACUGGAAUGUUCUUUAAUCGAAAGUUGAGGCGCCAUAGGAUGGAUCUGCGGUCGAUUAGGUUGUUGUUGGGGUAACGGCCCAACAAGCCUGUAAUCGAUACGGGUUGUGGGAGCAAGAGCCCGGAGAUGGAAUCUGAGACACGAUUCCAGGCCCUACGGGGCGCAGCAGGCGCGAAAACUUUACAAUGCAGGAAACUGUGAUAAGGGAACCCCGAGUGCCCGUAUACGCGGGCUGUCCAGGUGUCUAAAAAGCAUCUGAAGAAAGGGCUGGGCAAGACCGGUGCCAGCCGCCGCGGUAAUACCGGCGGCUCGAGUGGUGGCCACUAUUAUUGGGCUUAAAGCGUCCGUAGCUGGACUCUUAAGUCUCUUGGGAAAUCCGCCGGCUUAACCGACGGGCGUCUAAGAGAUACUGAGAGUCUAGGGACCGGGAGAGGUGAGAGGUACUCCGGGGGUAGGAGUGAAAUCCUGUAAUCCCUGGGGGACCACCGAUGGCGAAGGCAUCUCACCAGAACGGCUCCGACAGUGAGGGACGAAAGCUGGGGGAGCGAACCGGAUUAGAUACCCGGGUAGUCCCAGCCGUAAACUAUGCGCGUUAGGUGUACUGGUGACCACGAGUCACUGGGGUGCCGAAGGGAAACCGUGAAACGUGCCGCCUGGGAAGUACGGUCGCAAGGCUGAAACUUAAAGGAAUUGGCGGGGGAGCAC